rnacentral:sRNA from 1 species
GCCAGGCGCAGUGGUGCACGCCUGUAAUUCCAGCUAUUUGGGAGGCUGAGGCAGGAGACAAGGUUUGAGGCCAGCCUCAAACUUAGACCCCGUCUCAA